rnacentral:rRNA from 1 species
UACGUAGGGAGCAAGCGUUGUCCGGAUUUAUUGGGCGUAAAGAGCUCGUAGGCGGUUCGGUAAGUCAGGUGUGAAAAAUCUGGGCUCAACCCAGUGGAGCACCUGAUACUGCGGUGACUCGAGUCCGGUAGGGGAGUGUGGAAUUCCUGGUGUAGCGGUGAAAUGCGCAGAUAUCAGGAGGAACACCGACGGCGAAGGCAGCACUCUGGGCCGGUACUGACGCUGAGGAGCGAAAGCAUGGGGAGCGAACAGG